CAUACGUCAGCUUUCUAACUGAGCCCCAUCAGAGUUGAUAUACUGAAAAGUUUGUAAGUGGUUACCUACAUUCUGCUGGGUACAGCUCUUAUGUGUUCAGUAAACAUAUGAAAAAACAAGAGUUGUCUUUCUGUUUUCAGUCUUGGUUGUAACUAUUUCUUCAGCAUGUAUGAACUGCUGCCCCGCCUUUUUUUUUUUUUUUUUUUGACAAAAUGGUAACAGCUUGACAGUAUGUUUCACAGCUGUGAUAUGUAGCUUGUCCUAUGAACUGCAUAUUUCUAAAUUAUUCAUAGAGCUGAAUGUAGAAGAAAACGAAAUAUGAUAGAAUUACUGAGAAAAUAAUUCACUAUUUCUUCACAUGGAUGACUGUGGUUUGGAUCUAGAGUAUGUGUUUUUUUUUUCCAUUACAUUACAGGAAGCAGAAUCUGGUAAUAUAAGUCAAAAGUCUGAUGAAGAAGAUUUUGUAAAAGUUGAAGAUUUACCACUGAAACUGACAAUAUAUUCAGAGGCAGAUCUAAGGAAGAAAAUGGUAGAAGAAGAACAGAAAAACCAUUUAUCUGGUGAAAUAUGUGAAAUGCAGACUGAAGAAUUAGCUGGAAAUUCUGAGAUACUAAAAGAACCUGAAACGGUGGGAGCCCAGAGUGUAUGAGAUGUCUUCAGAGGCUCAUCUAACUCUGUCCUUACAUACUCAAUGCAUAUAUGAAAACAAUACUAAAUAAACAUCUGAUCUGUAUAAAAAUGUAAA
rnacentral:sRNA from 1 species